rnacentral:rRNA from 1 species
UUAAAAAGCUCGUAGUCGAACUUCGGCCUCUGCCACCCGGUCCGCCUAUUUGGGUGUGUACUGGAGUGGUGGAGGCUUACCUCGUGGUGAACGGCCAUGCCCUUAACUGGGUGUGGUCGGGAACCAUGACUUUUACUGUGAAAAAAUUAGAGUGUUCAAAGCAGGCUUACGCCCGAAUACAUUAGCAUGGAAUAAUAAAAUAGGACGUGCGGUCCUAUUUUGUUGGUUUCUAGGAUCGCCGUAAUGAUUAAUAGGGAUAGUUGGGGGCAUUCGUAUUCAAUUGUCAGAGGUGAAAUUCUUGGAUUUAUUGAAGACGAACUACUGCGAAAGCAUUUGCCAAGGAUGUUUUCAUUGAUCAAGAACGAAGGUUAGGGGAUCGAAAACGAUCAGAUACCGUUGUAGUCUUAACAGUAAACGAUGCCGACUAGGGAUCGGAUGAGGUUUUUAAUGACUCAUUCGGCACCUGAAGAGAAAUCUUUAAGUCAGGUUCGGGGGGGAGUAUGGUCGCAAGGCUGAAACUUAAAGGAAUUGACGGAAGGGCACCACCAGGUGUGGAGCCUGCGGCUUAAUUUGACUCAACACGGGGAAACUCACCAGGUCCAGACACGACAAGGAUUGACAGAUUGAUAGCUCUUUCUUGAUUUCGUGGUUGGUGGUGCAUGGCCGUUCUUAGUUGGUGGAGUGAUUUGUCUGGUUAAUUCCGAUAACGAACGAGACCUUAACCUGCUAAAUAGCCCGGCCGACUUUGGUUGGUCGCUGGCUUCUUAGAGGGACUAUCGACGUCUAGUCGAUGGAAGUUUGAGGCAAUAACAGGUCUGUGAUGCCCUUAGAUGUUCUGGGCCGCACGCGCGCUACACUGACCGAACCAGCGAGUUAAUCACCUUGGCCGGAAGGCCUGGGUAAUCUUGUGAAAUUCGGUCGUGAUGGGGAUAGAGCAUUGCAAUUAUUGCUCUUCAACGAGGAAUACCUAGUAAGCG